rnacentral:misc_RNA from 1 species
GCUCGUAGCAAACGUCCUCGCCCUGCUACCUUCACUCCCCGUGCAGCUAUGCAACUUAUCUCUCCCAGCUCCUCAGUCAAUGGGACCCCUCAGCCUUUUGCUGUGCCUAAGGUUCCCUCGGAUUCUGAAAAUUAUGCCGAGUCACGACUUUUGAUCAAGUUACCAAAGCAAGUUGCCCCGGAACAUAAGAAGAAGAAGAAAAUCAAGAUUACAGUUCCAUUAGGUUCUGCAGAAAUAAGCCAAAAUUCAGCACCACAACAAGCAGUUAGGAAAUGCAUGCAUUGUGAGAUAACUAAGACACCGCAAUGGAGGGCAGGACCAAUGGGGCCUAAAACUCUUUGCAAUGCUUGCGGUGUUCGCUACAAGUCAGGCAGGCUUUUCCCCGAGUACCGACCUGCUGCAAGUCCAACCUUUGUUCCAUCCUUGCACUCCAAUUCCCA